CCCCAUGGAGGAUCUGAACAUACACAUCUUUCGUGCACUACAUCCUGAAUUUGAAUCUAUGGUCUCCGCAAUGAUGGAUCGUAGGGAACCAAUCUCUUACACUGAACUUCAUGGCCUACUUCUCAGUCGUGA